rnacentral:rRNA from 1 species
UACAGAGGGGGCAAGCGUUGUUCGGAAUUACUGGGCGUAAAGGGCGCGUAGGCGGCCUUCUAAGUCGAACGUGAAAUCCCCGGGCUCAACCCGGGAACUGCGUCCGAUACUGGAAGGCUUGAAUCCGGGAGAGGGAUGCGGAAUUCCAGGUGUAGCGGUGAAAUGCUUAGAUAUGACAUAGAACACCGAUAGCGAAGGCAGCUUGCUACACAAUUAUUGACACUGAGGCUCGAAAGCGUGGGGAUCAAACAGG